rnacentral:rRNA from 1 species
UACGUAGGGUGCGAGCGUUGUCCGGAAUUAUUGGGCGUAAAGAGCUUGUAGGCGGUUUGUCCCGUCUGCUGUGAAAAUCCGGGGCUCAACCCCGGACUUGCAGUGGGUACGGGCAGACUAGAGUGUGGUAGGGGAGAUUGGAAUUCCUGGUGUAGCGGUGAAACGCGCAGAUAUCAGGAGGAACACCGAUGGCGAAGGCAGGUCUCUGGGCCACUACUGACGCUGAGAAGCGAAAGCAUGGGGAGCGAACAGGAUUAGAUACCCGGGUAGU